rnacentral:rRNA from 1 species
UACGUAGGGUGCAAGCGUUGUCCGGAAUUAUUGGGCGUAAAGAGCUCGUAGGCGGUCUGUCGCGUCGGCUGUGAAAACCCGGAGCUCAACUCCGGGCCUGCAGUCGAUACGGGCAAACUGGAGUGUUGCAGGGGAGACUGGAAUUCCUGGUGUAGCGGUGAAAUGCGCAGAUAUCAGGAGGAACACCGGUGGCGAAGGCGGGUCUCUGGGCAGUGGCUGACACUGAGGCGCGACAGCGUGGGGAGCAAACAGG